AUGGUACGGCCUCCCCCUCCUCUCCCACCCCCCAUCUCCUCCACACGGUACGGCCUCCCCCUCCUCCCCCACCCCCCAUCUCCUCCACACGGUACGGCCUCCCCCUCUCCCUCUCUACCCCCCAUGGUACGGCCUCCCCCUCCCCCUCCCUAUCCCUCCCUCCCCCCUCCCGUCUCCCCCCCACGCAGCACACAGCAGGUCCUCCCCGCCUCACCGAGGGCUACGCGAGAGCGUCAGGGAAGAGGACGAGCGGGUGCGUGGGUCCACCAGCAGGCACCCCCCACCCGCCCCGGGCCGGGCACCGCCCUGACCUCCACCCCGUCGGGCCGGGCUCCGGGAGCCGCUCAGGCGGCGGGCCCCCUGCCCCGCCCCCCCCACGUCACCUCUGGCCAGUGGCCCUGGGACCCUCCGACCGGAAGUGCGUGGCGCCCACGUGGCCCGGGCGCGACCGGAAGGACGGAGGGACGGCAAGGCCUCCGCGGGGGGCGCGGCGGGGCCGGUGAGGCGGCAGGGCUGAGGGGCCCUGGGGCCCGGCCGAGCGCCGCCGGGGGCCCGUCGGUCAGCAGCGAGGCGGCGCGGCGUCGGGUGGGCCAACGGGGCCCGCGGGGCGAGCGCGGACACGGACGGCGUCGGCCUCAGCCGCCACCCAGCAGCCUGCGGCCCCGAGGCGCAGGCGCAGCCCCAAGGCACAGGCGCAGGAAGGCGGCCCCAGGGCGCAGACGCGGGCGCAGGGGGCCGCGGCGGGGGGGCGGGGGGGGGGCUACCCCAGGGCGCAGGCGCGGGCUCGGGACAGCAGCCCCUGGGAGCAGCGCGGGGCACGCGGGGCCGCACAGGGCCGCGGCCGCAGGACCCCUCGGCCCUCAGUGUCCGGGAGAGCACGCGCAGAGGUGGGAAGCGUCCCGCGAGCUGUGGCCGCGGACGGAGAGAACGACCCUGACCGCGAACCGUACGGGCUCUGCUGCGGGGCGGAGGAGCCUGCUCUGGGCGUGCGAGGCUGCGACGGCCACACAGCCGUUGGCGUCCACGGGACAGCUUACGGAACGCUCGGAGUUUUAG
rnacentral:lncRNA from 1 species